rnacentral:tRNA from 1 species
GCGGGUGUAGUUUAGUGGUAAAACUACAGCCCUCCAAGCUGUUGUCGCGAGUUCGAUUCUCGUCACCCGCU